rnacentral:rRNA from 1 species
GAGUUUGAUCAUGGCUCAGAUUGAACGCUGGCGGUAUGCUUAACACAUGCAAGUCGAACGGUAACAGGAGAGAGCUUGCUCUUUUGCUGACGAGUGGCGGACGGGUGAGUAAUGCGUAGGAAUCUGCCUAGUAGUGGGGGACAAUGUGUGGAAACGCACGCUAAUACCGCAUACGCCCUACGGGGAAAGCGGGGGAUCUUCGGACCUCGCGCUAUUAGAUGAGCCUACGUUAGAUUAGCUAGUUGGUGGGGUAAAGGCCUACCAAGGCGACGAUCUAUAGCUGGUCUGAGAGGAUGAUCAGCCACACUGGGACUGAGACACGGCCCAGACUCCUACGGGAGGCAGCAGUGGGGAAUAUUGGACAAUGGGCGAAAGCCUGAUCCAGCAUACCGCGUGUGUGAAGAAGGCC